rnacentral:rRNA from 1 species
UACGUAGGGUGCAAGCGUUGUCCGGAUUUAUUGGGCGUAAAGAGCUCGUAGGCGGUUUGCCGCGUCUGCUGUGAAAACUCGGGGCUUAACCCCGGGCCUGCAGUGGGUACGGGCAGACUAGAGUGCGGUAGGGGAGACUGGAAUUCCUGGUGUAGCGGUGAAAUGCGCAGAUAUCAGGAGGAACACCAGUGGCGAAGGCGGGUCUCUGGACAGUUCCUGACACUGAGGCACGAAGGCCAGGGGAGCAAACGGG